UUGUAACCGGUCUUUUUCCAU
rnacentral:piRNA from 1 species